UUAGAUGAUGAAACGGCACUGGGCUCCGAUUUUUAUAAUGAGCAAGACACGCCAUUUUGCGGCAGGCCUAGAAAACCUCGCCCACUGAUU
rfam:Trichoderma harzianum strain T6776 Scaffolds0301.1, whole genome shotgun sequence.